rnacentral:rRNA from 1 species
GACGAACGCUGGCGGCGUGCUUAACACAUGCAAGUCGAACGGGAACCUUUAUUUCGGUAAAGGUGAGAGUGGCAAACGGGUGAGUAACACGUAGGCAACCUGCCGACAGGAUGGGGACAACAUUCCGAAAGGAAUGCUAAUACCGAAUGGAGUCCGAGGAUGGCAUCAUCCUUGGAUCAAAGAUGGCCUCUUAACAAUGCUAUCGCCUGUCGAUGGGCCUGCGUCUGAUUAGCCAGUUGGCGGGGUAACGGCCCACCAAAGCGACGAUCAGUAGCCGGUCUGAGAGGAUGAACGGCCACAUUGGGACUGAGACACGGCCCAGACUCCUACGGGAGGCAGCAGUGGGGAAUCUUCCACAAUGGGCGAAAGCCUGAUGGAGCAACGCCGCGUGAGUGAAGAAGGUCUUCGGAUCGUAAAGCUCUGUUGCACGGGACGAAAACUGGGUUUGAGAACAUUGAACCUGGGGACGUACCGAGCG